UCUAAGUAUAACCUGCCAGACAGGGAAACUGCGUACGGCUCAUUACACCAGCCUUAAUUUACUUGACCUUGACAACCUACUUGGAUAACUGUGGUAAUUCUAGAGCUAAUACAUGCACCAAAGCUCCGAUCCUCGCGGAGAGGAGCGCAUUUGUUCGCCACAAAACCAAGCGCCCAUCUGGGCGUCCAGUGCUGAACCAGAACAACUCAGCUGAUCGCACGGUCUUGUACCGGCGACGUGUCUUUCAAGUGUCUGCCUUAUCAACUUUCGAUGGUAGUGUACCUGACUACCAUGGUUGUGACGGGUAACGGAGGAUAAGGGUUCGACUCCGGAGAAGGGGCCUGAGAAAUGGCCACUACGUCUAAGGAUGGCAGCAGGCGCGCAAAUUACCCACUCUCAACGCGAGGAGGUAGUGACGAGAAAUAACGAGACCGUUCUCAUACGAGG
rnacentral:rRNA from 1 species